UCCAUCGGGAUCUCGCGCCUUUUCGCG
rnacentral:piRNA from 1 species